CGAUCUAUGGAUGAAANCGGGGAUCGCAAGACCUCGCGCGAUUGGAGCGGCCGAUAUCAGAUUAGGUAGUUGGUGGGGUAAAGGCUCACCAAGCCAACGAUCUGUAGCUGGUCUGAGAGGACGACCAGCCACACUGGAACUGAGACACGGUCCAGACUCCUACGGGAGGCAGCAGUGGGGAAUUUUUGGACAAUGGGCGCAAGCCUGAUCCAGCAAUGCCGCGUGCAGGAUGAAGGCCUUCGGGUUGUAAACUGCUUUUGUACGGAACGAAACGGUGAGCUCUAAUACAGUUUGCUAAUGACGGUACCGUAAGAAUAAGCACCGGCUAACUACGUG
rnacentral:rRNA from 1 species